CCUACGGGGGGCAGCAGUGAGGAAUAUUGGUCAAUGGGCGUAAGCCUGAACCAGCCAAGUCGCGUGAGGGAUGAAGGUUCUAUGGAUUGUAAACCUCUUUUAUAAGGGAAUAAAGUGCGGGACGUGUUCCGUUUUGUAUGUACCUUAUGAAUAAGGAUCGGCUAACUCCGUGCCAGCAGCCGCGGUAAUACGGAGGAUCCGAGCGUUAUCCGGAUUUAUUGGGUUUAAAGGGUGCGUAGGCGGCCUGUUAAGUCAGCGGUGAAAGUUUGUGGCUCAACCAUAGAAUUGCCGUUGAAACUGGGUGACUUGAGUAUGUUUGAGGCAGGCGGAAUGCGUGGUGUAGCGGUGAAAUGCAUAGAUAUCACGCAGAACCCCGAUUGCGAAGGCAGCCUGCCAAGCCAUGACUGACGCUGAUGCACGAAAGCGUGGGGAUCAAACAGGAUUAGAUACCCUGGUAGUC
rnacentral:rRNA from 1 species